CCUACGGGGGGCAGCAGUGGGGAAUAUUGCACAAUGGGCGCAAGCCUGAUGCAGCCAUGCCGCGUGUGUGAAGAAGGCCUUCGGGUUGUAAAGCACUUUCAGCGGGGAGGAAGGCGGUGAGGUUAAUAACCUCAUCGAUUGACGUUACCCGCAGAAGAAGCACCGGCUAACUCCGUGCCAGCAGCCGCGGUAAUACGGAGGGUGCAAGCGUUAAUCGGAAUUACUGGGCGCAAAGCGCACGCAGGCGGUCUGUCAAGUCGGAUGUGAAAUCCCCGGGCUCAACCUGGGAACUGCAUUCGAAACUGGCAGGCUAGAGUCUUGUAGAGGGGGGUAGAAUUCCAGGUGUAGCGGUGAAAUGCGUAGAGAUCUGGAGGAAUACCGGUGGCGAAGGCGGCCCCCUGGACAAAGACUGACGCUCAGGUGCGAAAGCGUGGGGAGCAAACAGGAUUAGAUACCCUAGUAGUC
rnacentral:rRNA from 1 species